CCUACGGGAGGCAGCAGUAGGGAAUCUUCCACAAUGGACGAAAGCCUGAUGGAGCAACGCCGCGUGGGUGAAGAAGGUCUUCGGAUCGUAAAACUCUGUUGUUAGAGAAGAAAGUGCGUGAGAGUAACUGUUCACGUUUCGACGGUAUCUAACCAGAAAGCCACGGCUAACUACGUGCCAGCAGCCGCGGUAAUACGUCGGUGGCAAGCGUUAUCCGGAUUUAUUGGGCGUAAAGGGAACGCAGGCGGUUUUUUAAGUCUGAUGUGAAAGUCUUCGGCUUAACCGUAGAAGUGCAGUGGAAACUGGGAGACUUGAGUGCAGAAGAGGAGAGUGGAACUCCAUGUGUAGCGGUGAAAUGCGUAGAUAUAUGGAAGAACACCAGUGGCGAAGGCGGCUCUCUGGGCUGUAACUGACGCUGAGGUUCGAAAGCGUGGGUAGCAAACAGGAUUAGAUACCCGAGUAGUC
rnacentral:rRNA from 1 species